AGUUCGGAUUGCAGGCUGNAACCCGCCUGCAUGAAGCCGGAAUCGCUAGUAAUCGCGGAUCAGAAUGCCGCGGUGAAUACGUUCCCGGGUCUUGUACACACCGCCCGUCACACCAUGGGAGUCGGGAAUGCCCGAAGUCAGUGGCCCAACCGGAAGGGGGGAGCUGCCGAAGGCAGGCCCGGUGACUGGGGUGAAGUCGUAACAAGGUACC
rnacentral:rRNA from 1 species